rnacentral:SRP_RNA from 1 species
GCCGGGCGCGGUGGCUCACGCCUGUAAUCCCAGCACUUUGGGAGGCCAAGGUGGGUGGAUCACCUGAGGUCAGGAGUUCGAAACCAGCAUGGCCAACAUGAUGAAACCCCGUCUCUACUAAAAAUACAAAAAAUUAGCCGGGCGUGAUGGCGCACACCUGUAAUCCCAGCUACUUGGGAGGUUGAGGCAGAAGAAUCACUUGUAUUUUUUAGUAGAGAAGGGGUUUCAGCAUGUUGGCCAGGCUGCUCUUGAACUCCUGACCUCAGGUGAUCCACCUGCCUC